GAUGAACGCUGGCGGCGUGCCUAAUACAUGCAAGUCGAGCGAACAGACCAGGAGCUUGCUCCUCUGACGUUAGCGGCGGACGGGUGAGUAACACGUGUAUAACCUACCUAUAAGACUGGGAUAACUUCGGAACACCGGAGCUAAUACCGGAUAAUAUAUUGAACCGCAUGGUUCAAUAGAGAAAGACGGUUUUUCUGUAUCUUCUAGCUGGUUCCGGGCCGUAUUAGCUAGUAGGUACGGUAACGGGUUACCAAGGCAACGAUGCGUAGACGACCUGAGAGGGGGGUCGGCCACAUUGGAGCGGGACCGGCGACAAGGGGACUAAGGGAGGCAGCAGAAGGGAAUCGGCCGCAAUAGGGGGAAGCCUGACGGAACAGCGCCGAGUGAGAGACGAAGGUCCCCGGAGCGGAAUAACGGGUUUUGAGUGAUGAACAAAUGUGUAAGUAACUGUGCACGGCGUGACGGUAACUAAUCAGAAAGCCACGGCUAACUACGUG
rnacentral:rRNA from 1 species